AUUGAACGCUGGCGGCAUGCUUUACACAUGCAAGUCGAACGGCAGCGCGGGCUUCGGCCUGGCGGCGAGUGGCGAACGGGUGAGUAAUACAUCGGAACGUGCCCAGUAGUGGGGGAUAGCUCGGCGAAAGCCGGAUUAAUACCGCAUACGACCUGAGGGUGAAAGCGGGGGAUCUUCGGACCUCGCGCUAUUGGAGCGGCCGAUGGCAGAUUAGCUAGUUGGUGGGGUAAAGGCCUACCAAGGCGACGAUCUGUAGCUGGUCUGAGAGGACGACCAGCCACACUGGGACUGAGACACGGCCCAGACUCCUACGGGAGCAGCAGUGGGGAAUUUUGGACAAUGGGCGAAAGCCUGAUCCAGCAAUGCCGCGUGUGUGAUGAAGGCCUUCGGGUUGUAAAGCACUUUUGGCGGGAACGAAAAGGACUGUGCCAAUACCACGGUUCGAUGACGGUACCCGCAGAAUAAGCACCGGCUAACUACGUG
rnacentral:rRNA from 1 species